rnacentral:rRNA from 1 species
AUACGUAGGGGGCGAGCGUUGUCCGGAAUUACUGGGCGUAAAGGGCGUGUAGGCGGCCUUUCAAGUCGGCUGUGAAAUACCCCGGCUCAACCGGGGGGGUGCAGUCGAAACUGGGGGGCUUGAGUGCAGGAGAGGAGGGUGGAAUUCCCGGUGGAGCGGUGAUAUGCGUAGAUAUCGGGAGGAACACCGGUGGCGAAGGCGACCUUCUGGCCUGUUACUGACGCUGAGGCGCGAAAGCCGGGGGAGCAAACAGGAUUAGAUACCCUGGUAGUCCCGGCCGUAAACGCUGGGUACUAGGUGUAGGGGGCUUUGAUGCCUUCUGUGCCGUAGUUAACGCAUUAAGCGCCCCGCCUGGGGAGUACGGCCGCAAGGCUAAA